ACUGAAGGCAAAACCUCUCAGAAUGCACACACAGUUACGAUGGCAAUACUCUGCGGCACUGGAGGUUAGCAAGUAUUCUAGAGGAAGCUCCGGAAUGUCCAGCUCCCUCACACCUAACAGGACUUCAUGAAAAGAGAAAUUGAAUAAGCAAGGUGGGUUUUGGUUGGUUGGUUGUUUUGUUUGUUUGUUUGUUUGGUUGGUUGGUUGGUUGGUUGGUUUCCAUAGGAGAGAUUGAACCUAGAGCCUCACAAGUGCUAGGAAUGUAUUUUACCACGUGACAUAUGCUCCCAGUCCUUUCUCCACUCUUUAUUUUGAGACAGCCUUCCCAAGUUACUCAAGCUAGCCUUGAACUUACAAUUCUCCUUCCUUGACCUCCAAAUUAGGCAGGGUUACCAGCUGGUACCACCAGGCCCUGCUCGAUUUUUUGUUUUUAUUAUUAAUUUCUUUGUCGUAUUUAUAUUGUUGCAGAUGGAAUCCAGGACCUUGUGCAUAGCUGGGCAAGAACACAAAAUGUCAUUUUUAGAAACCGGAAGUGAGUGUGGUCACAUACGAUGACAGGAUCCAGUGAACUUUGUGAAGUCUAUUUGUAGUUCACUUGCUUGUAUAUACAUGCAACAGCCAACUCCACUUUGCCAUAAUUAAUCAGACUCCACAUCAGACCCUGCCACUUAUCAGCUAACCUAGGAAAGUUCAUCAUUCAACUGCUUGGAGCUUCCACGAGCAAACCUAUAAAAGAGGAAUAAUAAUGGGACCCUUUCUGUUUCGUGGAGAUGCUGGGGUGACCAGAC
rnacentral:lncRNA from 1 species